rnacentral:rRNA from 1 species
CCUACGGGAGGCAGCAGUGGGGAAUUUUGGACAAUGGGCGAAAGCCUGAUCCAGCCAUUCCGCGUGAGUGAAGAAGGCCUUCGGGUUGUAAAGCUCUUUCGCAAGGGAAGAAAACUUAGAUACUAAUAUUAUCUGAGGUUGACGGUACCUUGAUAAGAAGCACCGGCUAACUACGUGCCAGCAGCCGCGGUAAUACGUAGGGUGCGAGCGUUAAUCGGAAUUACUGGGCGUAAAGCGUGCGCAGGCGGUUUUGUAAGUCAGAUGUGAAAUCCCCGAGCUCAACUUGGGAACUGCGUUUGAAACUACAAGACUAGAAUAUGUCAGAGGGGGGUAGAAUUCCACGUGUAGCAGUGAAAUGCGUAGAGAUGUGGAGGAAUACCAAUGGCGAAGGCAGCCCCCUGGGAUAAUAUUGACGCUCAUGCACGAAAGCGUGGGGAGCAAACAGGAUUAGAUACCCUGGUAGUCCACGCCCUAAACGAUGUCUACUAGUUGUUGGUGGAGUAAAAUCCAUGAGUAACCGCAGCUUAACGCGUGAAGUAGACCCGCCGNGGGAGGUACGGUCGGUCGAAGAAGUUAAACGUUAACUAAAGUUAAGUUAAGUUAGUUACGGCGUUGAGACGUUGCCGACGGACGACGACGAGGGGAGGAGGGAG